UUAUAUGGUCAAGAAGAGAAGCGCAAACGGUGGAUGCCUUGGCAGUAAGAGGCGAAGAAGGACGUGGAAUCCUGCGAAAAGCUAUGGGGAGCUGGAAACGAGCGUUGAGCCAUAGAUGUCCGAAUGGGGGAACCCGGCUGCAGCGAUGCGGUCAUUUGCAUUUGAAUACAUAGGAUGCAAAGGCGAACUCGGGGAACUGAAACAUCUAAGUACCCGAAGGAAAAGAAAUCAAGAGAGAUUCUCCAAGUAGCGGCGAGCGAACGGGGAGGAGCCUGGCGUGAUUUAUUAUUGAACUGAGUAGAACAAUUUGGGAAAGUUGGCCGAAGAGGGUGAAAGCCCCGUAUACGAAGGUUUGAUGAGGAACUAGGCACGCGAACAAGUAGGCCGGGACACGUGAAAUCCUGGUUGAAGAUGGGUGGACCAUCAUCCAAGGCUAAAUACUACUUACUGACCGAUAGUGAACCAGUACCGUGAGGGAAAGGUGAAAAGAACCCCGGAGAGGGGAGUGAAAUAGAAUCUGAAACCGUUUGCGUACAAGCAGUGGGAGCAUGGUUUAGGCUGUGUGACUGCGUACCUUUUGUAUAAUGGGUCAGCGAGUUACUUUCAGUGGCGAGGUUAACUGAAUAAGGGAGCCGUAGAGAAAUCGAGUCUGAAUAGGGCGAUAGUCGCUGGGAGUAGACCCGAAACCGGGCGAUCUAGCCAUGUGCAGGAUGAAGGUUGGGUAACACCAACUGGAGGUCCGAACCGGGUAAUGUUGAAAAAUUAUCGGAUGACGUGUGGCUAGGAGUGAAAGGCUAAUCAAGCCCGGAGAUAGCUGGUUCUCCCCGAAAGCUAUUUAGGUAGCGCCUCGUGAAUGAUUACUGGGGGUAGAGCACUGUUUCGGCUAGGGGGCUGUCAUGGCUUACCAAACCGAUGCAAACUCCGAAUACCGGCUAAUUGAAUCACGGGAGACACACGGCGGGUGCUAACGUCCGUCGUGGAGAGGGAAACAACCCAGACCGCCAGCUAAGGUCCCCAAGUACUAGUUAAGUGGGAAACGAUGUGGGAAGGCAUAGACAGCCAGGAGGUUGGCUUAGAAGCAGCCACCCUUUAAAGAAAGCGUAAUAGCUCACUGGUCGAGUCGGCCUGCGCGGAAGAUGUAACGGGGCUAAAACUAGUCACCGAAGCUGCGGAUGUGCGCGAAGGCGCACGUGGUAGGGGAGCGUUCUGUAGGCUGAUGAAGGUGCAUUGAGAAGUGUGCUGGAGGUAUCAGAAGUGCGAAUGCUGACAUGAGUAACGAUAAUGUGGGUGAAAAGCCCACACGCCGGAAGUCCCAGGUUUCCUGCACGACGUUAAUCGGAGCAGGGUGAGUCGGCCCCUAAGGCGAGGCUGAAGAGCGUAGUCGAUGGGAACCAGGUUAAUAUUCCUGGACUUUUUAUAAGUGGUGAAGUGGGGACGAAGAAGGCUAGGUGAGCCAGGCGUUGGUUGUCCUGGUACUUGCAUGUAGGGGGGAAGACUUGGCAAAUCCGGUUUUCCAUAACUCUGAGGUGCGAAGUGGUUCUGACCUUUUGGUACAGAGAAGUCAUUGAUGCCCGGCUUCCAGGAAAAGCUGCUAGCCAUAACUUAUAGAGAACCGUACCGCAAACCGACACAGGUGGACAGGUAGAGAAUACUAAGGCGCUUGAGAGAACUCGGGUGAAGGAACUAGGCAAAAUGGUACCGUAACUUCGGGAGAAGGUACGCCCUUUCUGGUGAUGGGAUUUACUUUCAGAGCUGGAGAGGGCCGCAGAGACCAGGUGGCUGCGACUGUUUAUUAAAAACACAGCACUCUGCAAAUUCGUAAGAAGACGUAUAGGGUGUGACGCCUGCCCGGUGCCGGAAGGUUAAUUGAUGGGGUUAUCUUCGGAGAAGCUCUUGAUCGAAGCCCCGGUAAACGGCGGCCGUAACUAUAACGGUCCUAAGGUAGCGAAAUUCCUUGUCGGGUAAGUUCCGACCUGCACGAAUGGCGUAACGAUGGCCACACUGUCUCCACCCGAGACUCAGUGAAAUUGAAAUCGCUGUGAAGAUGCAGUGUACCCGCGGCUAGACGGAAAGACCCCGUGAACCUUUACUAUAGUUUUGCACUGGACUUUGAUGAUGACUGUGUAGGAUAGGUGGGAGGCUGUGAAGUGAGGACGCUAGUUCUCAUGGAGCCGCCCUUGAAAUACCACCCUGUUGUUAUUGAGGUUCUAACUUGGUCCAGUAAUCCUGGAUGAGGACAGUGUAUGAUGGGUAGU
rnacentral:rRNA from 1 species